rnacentral:lncRNA from 1 species
CACAACAAGUUACCAAACCCUGGGUGGCUUAAAACAACAGGAUUUCAGGUUCUCGUCAUCUGGAGGUCUGAAGUCUGGAGUCAAGGAAUCAGCACGGCUCUGCUCACUCCGAAGGCUCCAGGAGAGAACCUUUCUUUGCUUCUUCCAGCAUCUGGUGGCUGCAGGCAUUCCCUGGAUUGUGGCAAAGUGUGUGGUGCAACAGCAGAGUGGAAAGAGAAUGUGUGGAUCAGACAUACCUGGGUGGAAACUGACUUUACCAACGACUGGCUGGCUGCAAGACCUUGGCGAUUAUCCUUAACCUAGCCUCAGUCUCAACCUGUGACACGGCAAUGGCAGCUUAGAGAGGUUAAGCUACUUGAGUCACACCCGUGUCAGGUGGAGGAGCUGAACCUUGGAUGCAGGAGUAUCCGUUUCUACUGUCUCAACUCUUCCUAACUGCUUUGGAAUGACAGAAUGAGGAAAUGCACCCAACGUGAAUUUUGCGUUCACCAUUACCUGCAAAAUGUCAGUGGCUAAUGCCAGCUUUGGCUGACUGUCCUGAUAUCCAGAGCAAUGGUUCCUAAAUUUUGGUCCACGGUCCAGUGCCAGCUUAGGACCAAGGAUUCACAGUCUUUGAUGUGAGGAAAAUAAGAACAUAAAAUUGGCCAG